GACGAACGCUGGCGGCGUGCUUAACACAUGCAAGUCGAACGCUGAAGCUUGGUGCUUGCACUGGGUGGAUGAGUGGCGAACGGGUGAGUAAUACGUGAGUAACCUGCCCUUGACUCUGGGAUAAGCCUGGGAAACUGGGUCUAAUACUGGAUACGACAUGUCACCGCAUGGUGGCGUGUGGAAAGGGUUUUACUGGUUUUGGAUGGGCUCACGGCCUAUCAGCUUGUUGGUGGGGUAAUGGCUCACCAAGGCGACGACGGGUAGCCGGCCUGAGAGGGUGACCGGCCACACUGGGACUGAGACACGGCCCAGACUCCUACGGGAGGCAGCAGUGGGGAAUAUUGCACAAUGGGCGGAAGCCUGAUGCAGCGACGCCGCGUGAGGGAUGACGGCCUUCGGGUUGUAAACCUCUUUCAGCACGGAAGAAGCGAAAGUGACGGUACGUGCAGAAGAAGCGCCGGCUAACUACGUG
rnacentral:rRNA from 1 species